rnacentral:rRNA from 1 species
GGAAAGUCGCACGGUACAGGGUGAUAGUCCCGUACACAAAAAUGCAUAUGUUGUGAGUUCGAUGAGUAGGGCGGGACACGUGACAUCCUGUCUGAAUAUGGGGGGACCAUCCUCCAAGGCUAAAUACUCCUGACUGACCGAUAGUGAACCAGUACCGUGAGGGAAAGGCGAAAAGAACCCCGGCGAGGGGAGUGAAAUAGAACCUGAAACCGUGUACGUACAAGCAGUGGGAGCACCUUCGUGGUGUGACUGCGUACCUUUUGUAUAAUGGGUCAGCGACUUAUAUUUUGUAGCAAGGUUAACCGAAUAGGGGAGCCGUAGGGAAACCGAGUCUUAACUGGGCGAAUAGUUGCAAGGUAUAGACCCGAAACCCGGUGAUCUAGCCAUGGGCAGGUUGAAGGUUGGGUAACACUAACUGGAGGACCGAACCGACUAAUGUUGAAAAAUUAGCGGAUGACUUGUGGCUGGGGGUGAAAGGCCAAUCAAACCGGGAGAUAGCUGGUUCUCCCCGAAAGCUAUUUAGGUAGCGCCUCGUGAACUCAUCUUCGGGGGUAGAGCACUGUUUCGGCUAGGGGGUCAUCCCGACUUACCAAACCGAUGCAAACUCCGAAUACCGAAGAAUGUUAUCACGGGAGACACACGGCGGGUGCUAACGUCCGUCGUGAAGAGGGAAACAACCCAGACCGCCAGCUAAGGUCCCAAAGUCAUGGUUAAGUGGGAAACGAUGUGGGAAGGCAUAGACAGCCAGGAUGUUGGCUUAGAAGCAGCCAUCAUUUAAAGAAAGCGUAAUAGCUCACUGGUCGAGUCGGCCUGCGCGGAAGAUGUAACGGGGCUAAACCAUGC